CUUACUGACACCAGCAGGCAUGGGGCUACAGUCCGUCCAGUGAAGACAGGAGCGUCUCAACACAACGAAGACAGCUAAUUGCAGUAUCGAAUUGAAAAUAGUGGUAAUAGGCGCCCGGCUGAUAGAACGGCGCGCAUGCAGCUUUCAUGAAGGAGGAUGGAGAUAGAGAAAAGGACGAAUGGGUUCGAUUACCCAGAGAGAAACAAUGCGAAGCCCGUUAACGGCUUCUAUGGUGACCAUCCCUUGGAAGUUGAACAGAAUGAUGGCAUAGCGACACAAGCUACAGAAAUACCGAUGAGACACAAGGGACUACCGAGAUGUCACCAUCUAUGACUGUCAAGGCAGACGAGUGAGAUUCAACUCCAGGUUCCGCCCCCCUGUGACCAGAUGAGAUGACGCUCACCUGUCCUCUGCCAGUGAGCAAGAAGCUUCAAAGCAUAGUGACUCUGAUACCUCUCGAACCAACCCCGCUGUUUUAGGGGCGCGAGGCAACCAGCGCCAACCUGCAGGAAGACGAGGCGGGGCUCGAGGGGGAAGACAUCCGCCCACAGCCCACCUGAGGAGGUCCAGUCGGAACCGCAACAAUAACUUUCGGUGAUCAACAUAUCACCAUGGCCUCUCACGGAUGCCCAAGUGUCAGACCUGAGUGAAGGACUCUCUUUCUCACCUUCUAAUAGGAUGGCACCUUUUGCAUGAAAAGUUGACACUUUCAGAUUUGUUCGCCAAUGACAUUUAAAUAAUUUAUUCUGUGCUAAUAGGCAACCAUUGUGUAAUGUCAAAUUUUGUGCCUUAUGCUAAUUUCAGUCCCUACAAUAGGCUGAUAGAACAUGAUUUUGCUAAAUUGGCCCGCAACACCCCUAAACAAGCAGCUAAUCUCAGUAAUGGUGAACAAAAUGCUUUGAAGGAACUGAAAGACAAUCCAGAUAUUGUGAUAAAAAAUGCUGAUAAGGGAGUGAGGUCUAUGCUCAACUCUCUGACAUUAAGUUCUAUGUCCCUCUCUGUUUCAACCCCACAGGUAGAAUAAAAAAGGAUAUAAAUAGCUUCAUUGAUGACGCUCUUUCAGAGGGUGUCACGCCCUGACCUAUAGAACUCUAGUUAGUUUGGUCAGGGUGUGAAUAUCAUGUGUGUGUUUUUCUA